CUAGUCCGUGGUUGGGGUCGAGAAACAUGACGUGGAGGUUUGUCAGCUAAUCAAAUACGAAAAGUAAAUGCACUACACAUUGACCCCAACUGACCGAUGGGAAAUGUAUCCCAUUACUCUGUUCAUACUUUACUUUUUCGACUGACUGACAAAGGAAUUUUUAUGGUUCUCUGUUUGAUUACUGUUAGUCGCUAUAGGAAUAUGAACGAAUCUGAUACAAUUAAUACGAUGUUUUGCAUGCAAGACAAAAUAAAAAGGUGGAAAACAGGAAUUCUGUCGGGCUUCGGAGCGGAUGGGUCGCCGUAUGUGGAAGGAG
rnacentral:lncRNA from 1 species